UUAGAGUUUGAUCCUGGCUCAGAUUGAACGCUGGCGGCAGGCCUAACACAUGCAAGUCGAGCGGAAACGAGUUAUCUGAACCUUCGGGGAACGAUAACGGCGUCGAGCGGCGGACGGGUGAGUAAUGCCUAGGAAAUUGCCUUGAUGUGGGGGAUAACCAUUGGAAACGAUGGCUAAUACCGCAUAAUGCCUACGGGCCAAAGAGGGGGACCUUCGGGCCUCUCGCGUCAAGAUAUGCCUAGGUGGGAUUAGCUAGUUGGUGAGGUAAUGGCUCACCAAGGCGACGAUCCCUAGCUGGUCUGAGAGGAUGAUCAGCCACACUGGAACUGAGACACGGUCCAGACUCCUACGGGAGGCAGCAGUGGGGAAUAUUGCACAAUGGGCGCAAGCCUGAUGCAGCCAUGCCGCGUGUAUGAAGAAGGCCUUCGGGUUGUAAAGUACUUUCAGCAGUGAGGAAGGGGGUGUCGUUAAU
rnacentral:rRNA from 1 species